GCGGGUUUAGCUCAGUUGGGAGAGCGUCAGACUGAAGAAUUGGGUCCUCAAGACCCAUAAACUUCGGGAACACAAUCCACAUUGUGGGAUAUCUGAAGGUCGUGUGUUCGAUCCACACAAACCGCA
rnacentral:tRNA from 1 species